rnacentral:rRNA from 1 species
AGUGAACGCUGGCGGUAGGCCUAACACAUGCAAGUCGAACGGCAGCACAGUAAGAGCUUGCUCUUACGGGUGGCGAGUGGCGGACGGGUGAGGAAUACAUCGGAAUCUACUUUUUCGUGGGGGAUCACGUAGGGAAACUUACGCUAAUACCGCAUACGACCUACGGGUGAAAGCAUGGGAUCUUCGCACCUUGCGCGAUUGAAUGAGCCGCUGUCGGAUUAGCUAGUUGGCGGGGUAAAGGCCCACCAAGGCGACGAUCCGUAGCUGGUCUGAGAGGAUGAUCAGCCACACUGGAACUGAGACACGGUCCAGACUCCUACGGGAGGCAGCAGUGGGGAAUAUUGGACAAUGGGCGCAAGCCUGAUCCAGCCAUACCGCGUGGGUGAAGAAGGCCUUCGGGUUGUAAAGCCCUUUUGUUGGGAAAGAAAAGCAGCAGGUUAAUACCCCGCUGUUCUGACGGUACCCAAAGAAUAAGCACCGGCUAACUUCGUG